CAUGGCUCAGAACGAACGCUGGCGGCGUGCCUAACACAUGCAAGUCGUACGAGAAAGGGUCUUCGGACCUGAGUAAAGUGGCGAACGGGUGAGUAACACGUGGAUAAUCUGCCCUUCAGUUGGGGAUAACCCAUCGAAAGGUGGGCUAAUACCGAAUAAUGCUCCUGGACUCCGGUCCAGUAGCCAAAGAUGGCCUCUGCAUGCAAGCUGUCGCUGAAGGAUGAGUCCGCGCACCAUUAGCUAGUUGGUAGGGUAAUGGCCUACCAAGGCGAUGAUGGUUAGCUGGUCUGAGAGGAUGAUCAGCCACACUGGAACUGAGACACGGUCCAGACUCCUACGGGAGGCAGCAGUGAGGAAUCUUGCGCAAUGGGGGAAACCCUGACGCAGCAACGCCGCGUGAGUGAAGAAGGCCUUCGGGUUGUAAAGCUCUGUCGGGUGGGAAGAAAUGUAUGGAGGUUAAUACCCUUCAUAC
rnacentral:rRNA from 1 species